CGCAUCUGUGCAUGCAGCAUAUCAAUAAGCGGAGGAAAAGAAACUAACAAGGAUUCCCCUAGUAACGGCGAGUGAAGCGGGAAGAGCUCAAAUUUGAAAUCUUAAAGGGUUUCCCUUUACGAAUUGUAGCUUAAAGAAGUGUUUUCUGUUGAGGUUUUGGUAAAAGUUCUUUGGAAUAGGACAUCAUAGAGGGUGAGAAUCCCGUAUUUGACCUUUACUUUCAACUUUGUGAUACACUUUCAAAGAGUCGGAUUGUUUGGGAAUGCAGUCCAAAAUGGGUGGUAAAUUUCAUCUAAAGCUAAAUAUUGGCGAGAGACCGAUAGCGAACAAGUACCGUGAGGGAAAGAUGAAAAGAACUUUGAAAAGAGAGUUAAACAGUACGUGAAAUUGUCAAAAGGGAAGCGUUUGACACCAGUGUUGUUUUUCUGAAAAUCAAUUAAAGAACUGUUUAUGCUAAGCUGUUUAGACUUUAUCAGCUAUCUGUUUAGUUUUGAGCUUUUCUUUAAUGCACUUUUCAGUUAACAAGUCAACAUCAAUUUCUUUUGCUGUAAAAAAGCUUGAGGAAGGUGGCUUGAGAUUCGUCUUAAGUGUUUAUAGCCUCUUGCCUAUGCAGUCGGAGAGAUUGAGGUCUGCAGCGUAGAUCCUUCGGGGCUAGGUGCAUUUGUGCUAAGUUAUAGCAUUUUAUAGACAACUUGUUGACUAUGAUUUGUCUUGUAGCUUACUCGCUUAUGUUAUUUUACCUACGCUUAGGAUGUUGAACGCGCACAGAGUCUC
rnacentral:rRNA from 1 species